rnacentral:rRNA from 1 species
CCCUUAGAUGUUCUGGGCCGCACGCGUGCUACACUGAGUGGAUCAGCGGGUCAGGUUGCGCGAAAGUGUUUCCUAAUCUUGAAAUCCGCUCGUGAUGGGGAUUGACGGUUGCAAUUUUCCGUCAUGAACGAGGAAUACCUUGUAAGCGCGGGUCAUCAUCCCGCGCUGAAUACGUCCCUGCCCUUUGUACACACCGCCCGUCGCUCCUACCGAUUGAGUGGCCCGGUGAGGCUUUGGGAUCUGAGCAAAAAGAGCGUUUCGCUCGUUUGGCUCGGAAAACUCAGUCGAACCUUAUCAUUUAGAGGAAGGAGAAGUCGUAACA